GGUGAACGCUGGCGGCGUGCCUAAUACAUGCAAGUCGAGCGAACAGACGAGGAGCUUGCUCCUCUGACGUUAGCGGCGGACGGGUGAGUAACACGUGGAUAACCUACCUAUAAGACUGGGAUAACUUCGGGAAACCGGAGCUAAUACCGGAUAAUAUAUUGAACCGCAUGGUUCAAUAGUGAAAGACGGUUUUGCUGUCACUUAUAGAUGGAUCCGCGCCGCAUUAGCUAGUCGGUAAGGUAACGGCUUACCAAGGCAACGAUGCGUAGCCGACCUGAGAGGGUGAUCGGCCACACUGGAACUGAGACACGGUCCAGACUCCUACGGGAGGCAGCGGUAGGGAAUCUUCCGCAAUGGGCGAAAGCCUGACGGAGCAACGCCGCGUGAGUGAUGAAGGUCUUCGGAUCGUAAAACUCUGUUAUUAGGGAAGAACAAAUGUGUAAGUAACUAUGCACGUCUUGACGGUACCUAAUCAGAAAGCCACGGCUAACUACGUG
rnacentral:rRNA from 1 species